GCUUACGGCCAUACCACCCUGAACACGUCUGAUCUCGGAAGCUAAGCAGGGUCGGGCCUGGUCAGUACUUGGAUGGGAGACCGCCUGGGAAUACCAGGUGCUGUAAGCU
ensembl:rRNA 5S_rRNA 5S ribosomal RNA